CGUAGAGGAAACAAGGGCGUACGGUGGAUGCCUUGGCUUGAAAGAGCGAUGAAGGACGCGGCGUAGCGGCGAUACGCUUCGGGGAGGUGCCGAGCAACCUUUGAUCCGAAGAUGU
rnacentral:ncRNA from 1 species